AUUGAACGCUGGCGGCAGGCUUAACACAUGCAAGUCGAGCGAGCGGCGGACGGGUGAGUAAUGUCUGGGCAACUGCCUGAUGGAGGGGGAUAACUACUGGAAACGGUAGCUAAUACCGCAUACCAUCAGAUGUGCCCAGAUGGGAUUAGCUAGUAGGUGGGGUAAUGGCUCACCUAGGCGACGAUCCCUAGCUGGGCUGAGAGGAUGACCCGCCACACUGGAACUGAGACACGGCCCAGACUCCUACGGGAGGCAGCAGUGGGGAAUAUUGGACAAGGGGCGAAAGCCUGACGGAGCAAUGCCGCGUGUGUGAAGAAGGCCUUCGGGUUGUAAAGCACUUUCAGCGAGGAGGCGGUACUCGCAGAAGAAGCACCGGCUAACUCCGUGCCAGCAGCCGCGGUAAUUC
rnacentral:rRNA from 1 species